AUGACGCUGCUAUCAGAGUAGUCUGUUCCUGGAAAGUGAGUGGAUAUUUAUUUAAUGAAGGGCUUUUUUCUCUCCUAGCUCCAGUAGAAUUGAUAGGAAAAGGAAGUGCUGUUAAAGGAGACACUGGCAAUGAUGAAAUCCUUUCUGAAUGUUUAAAAACGCAGAGAUUUUUCUCGUCCGGUUGUUAUGGAGCAGCCACCGGGGAGCUUGGAGGAUCUACAGCACCAAGGUAUCUCCUCCUCCAUCAUCCCCGGUGUAACUGACUUGAGCAGGAAAGAAGAAGAAUGCCUCCUCGCCUCGCCAUCUCUCGAUGCCUUUCGGAGGGUCAAGGGCUCUGGUUGGGCCCCAAGCCCCAGAUCUGCCAUCCCUGGCUUACAAUUCUCAGACACAGGCUCCUCAGAUGUCCCGCUUCGAUCAGGGGAUCAAAUUCAGCCAGACAAUGCCUUAUCGCACACUACAGUCACUCUGUCCUACGUUAGCAGCUCUCAUGUCUUCUCCACUCUCAACUCUUCUCUGUGCAGCGUGUCGCCAGUCAGCAGGUUUUCCUUCCACCCUCAGUGCAACACGGACGACAGGUUAGGGGAGAGCAGCUAUGCAGUCAACCAGCAAUACCUUGGACAGGAAGAGGAGCCCGUUAACCUCGUCACACAGGCGGAACCAUUUUGCUCUCAACCUCAAGUGGCGUCGGAGGAAGAUGCAAGAGAGAACCAUGUGCGGGAGCCUCCAGAGAUCAACGGAGGAGUAAUUUCCAGCGAUGGAAAGCCGCUGGAAAACGCAAAGUGUUUAGAGAACGGACGGGGCGAUCAUUGGUCGAGCUCAGGAGCGAGCAGCGAAUCCUCAUCAGAAGUUCCUCAGGUCGAGGACAGAAAGACCGCCGAUGUGUUUUUCGUCGAGGCUGAGAAACAGGACAACAUGGUCUCUGACGCCAAAGUGGCCACAGAUCUGUGUUCAGUCAGCAGGGAGUACAGAAGUCCUUUGGAGGAUCCCGUCUCUCCACCUUCUACCUCAGCAGACGAUGUGGAAGAUGUGUUUCUCCUUCCUCUGGCCUCCAGCUCACCCAGCGCAGAGGCUUUCUGUCCAGACGCGGCUGACGACGAAGCCACUCAGCAAAGCUCUGCAGUCAGCGAUUGUCCCUCAGCGUCAGACCCCAGAGAUGAGAGUAAACAGUCGCCCCAUGGUCAGAAGGUCCAACCUUUGCUUGAUGAUCCGUUUGUGUCGGCCGAGCUGGAGAAAAACGCAGCUAGCGUUGUGCCUCACAUUAACGGGGAGGCGAAUGUGCUGGAAAAGACUUUAAAAGAAAGGAAACUGCCCAUGCGCUCUGGGAGAGGAACCCGACUGGAGGCCAUAGUCAUGAAUAUAAAUUCGAGUCGCUAUAAAGUGUCGGGAUGCAUCCGGGCUGGUAAGAAACCCAGGGCCUCCCAGACGGCAGCGAAGGACACGGCAUUCCCCGGUUCUCAGAGGACGCUGCCCGGCUGCAGGCGGAGAGGGAAGGCGAAGGCCUCGCUCUCACUGAGAACAGUUAAAAGAAAAGCUGUGAAAGUAAAAGGCGAACCCAGAAAGGUCGAUGCAGGAAGCUGCAAUGACUCUACCUCUGUUUCUGGACUCAUUAACAGCACAGAAGCGUCAGGCGGCAGCCCGCCUGCUAAAAGACCUCGGUUUGUAAGGCCAAACAGAAAACCCCUGCGCUCACGUCGACGAAGCCCCGCUACGUCAGAACCCCUAUCCCAGUCUGACUCCCCCUUUCCUGCACAUAAGAGCUUAAAGAAGAGGCCAGUGUCGCUCCCAGCUCUCGGACCCUCAGUGGAUGUUAAAGCAUCAAAAGUUCCUCCCCCUCGGUCGCCGCAAAAAUCUUCAAAGGAUAGCCAGAGUGACGGCAAAAGAAAAUCUUCUGGAAGAAAAUCAUCUCCCACCAAGAAGACAAAGGCGACCAAAUCCCCAAAACGUAGGAGGAAAAAAGCCAAAUGCAGCCAGCCGUCAGCCAUGUUCUCCCCAAAGGAGCCUGAGAUCAAGCUCAGGUACGUCAACUACAAGGAGGACAGGAAGGAGCUCCGGUCGCAAAGCUUCUCUCCGUUUGUCCGUGUCAGUCGGCAGCCAUCGUCCCACGCUUUAUGCACAAUAAUGAACUACCCAGAGGAGGUGAAGGCCGACGCCAAGCCGCAGCAGCAGCAGGCUCAGUCGAGCCGCUUCGUCUCCGCCGUUGUACCCAGCACUUCCUGCCUGCAGUUGGGACGGCCGUCCAAGCACGGCCAACACCAGCGCGCUCUCGUCUGCUGCUUGUGCGGCCAGUCGGCCAACUCCAUAGACUUGGGGGACCUCCACGGCCCCUAUUACCCCGAGGGGUACCGGCCCAACACCAAAACACCAGCCAGCGGGUCCGUCCUCAAAGAAGACGAGGACGAUUCCAGCGAUUCGGACUCGUCUUCCAGCGGUAUGAGAGCCAGACGUUGGGCCUGCAGCCCAGGAGCUCAGCUAAAGCAGAAGGGUCUUCUUGGGAACCGCAGGUGGGCCGGCGGCAGGACCAGAAGCCCUGCAGCCAAGCGGGCCCGACCGGACGCCGGCGCUGCGGAUGUGGAGGACUGGUACAGCCCGCCUGUGCUGCCGGUGGAGCCGUGUGAAUAUUGGAUCCAUGAGGACUGCGGCGUCUGGUCUGCAGGCGUGUUCCUCGUCAAGGGCAAAGUUUACGGGCUGGAGGAAGCCGUCAAGGUGGCUCAGGAGACGAUGUGCUCAGCGUGCCACCAUCCAGGAGCAACCUUGGGCUGCUUCUUCAAAGGCUGUCCUAACAAGUACCACUAUAGGUGUGCUCUGGAGUCAGACUGUGUUCUUAUCGAAGAGAAUUUCUCCAUGAAGUGUAGAAAGCACAAGAACAAGACGCUGAAAGCCUCUCCAGGGAGGCGACGGGACGACAGGUGACGGUUUCCACAAACCUCAUGAGGCUGGGCGCAUUGCUGCCCCUUCAGGACACUGGCUUGUGACGUCAUGGGCAUUACACGGCCGGUUCCUCCGACUGACAGCUAGCACCCACAAUCCUUAGCGACACCCUCUGCCCUUCAGAGCGACUGUUAAACCGGAGGAGGCCGCCACCCGCUCAUCCCCCUCCCCCACCUGUGGACUGCAGGAUACCAUGUUGUCUUUCGUCUGGUUAUUUAUAUGGGAUUGUUGGUUCUGCUCAGAUCAAUAUAAAUAAUGAUCAGAUCUAUUUAAUUUUUAAAGAUUUUCUAAGUAUUUGGUUUAUUUAUUCCUGAACUUUUCUUAUGGAGGUUGUUUGUGUGAGUGUGUGUUUUUAGUCUCCUGUGAAAGUUAUCAGCUUAGCAUUUACACGUUUCCCAAACAGAUCUGCGCUUGAUUUUUUGCUAGGUUUUUUUUUUUUGUUUGUUUUAGGACCUGGUUUACAAGCUGCCAUUAAAGGAACAGCUCCAAUUUUUUUCAGAAUUCUGUGACGUUCCAAGUAAUGGCUCCAUUUCCUGAAUUAAAGUCAGUUUGAACCAAAGCAACCUAUCAGCUUUGACGCUGUAUUAGCGACCCGCCCAACAGGCCACCGUUCUCUGGUUUCCUCAGCUGAAGGUUCUUCAUUUUAAAGUGGAUUGGGUUCGAGAUGCGGCGUCCGUAAACGUUCUUUGAUCUUAGGUCACAUGGACGAGGAAACUGACACAUUAAACAGGUUCAUAGACUGAAACUAUCCACUAACAGUCCUGUACGCCAUGGCUGUGUCCACUUAUGGGUUUAAACCCAUCAGCUAAGUAGUUAAUUUUCCAGACAUUUCUACAAACUUGUUCCAUUAAGACAUCUGUCUGCUGCAGAUGUGCAAUUAUUAAUAUUCUAGAAAAACAAAAAACAGGAUGUUAAAUGAGUUGGGCUGUGUGCCCUGAUAGCAGCAGUUCUGUGUUAAUUAUCUGGUCUGAUGAGUUAUUAGAAGCUUUUCUGUCAGCAUGAAGUCUAUCAGUGUGUUUGAAUGUAUUCUAACAGGAAGCACUCCGCUCCGCAGCGCCGUAGCUCUGCUUGCUACUGACUCUUUGACGCUGGUUGCUUGGUUACCCACAAAGAGACGUCAUCGACCGUUUAGUGAUGAUUUAUUAGAUUUUUAUUUUUUUUUUCCACUUCAAAGCACUUUGGCCUCCCGUUGUUUGGCUGGGAAACAUUAAAAAUGUGCCCAUGUUAUUGUUUU